ACCAGUGAGUGAGCCCAUCCCGAGGGCUCCAGAGAGAGCACCCAACCCGGGACCGAUGAUGAGAUCUGGUGGAGUCUGAGUGUUUCUCGAUGACAGCCGUCUUAUCCGAAAUCUGAGGUCCGACACAGAGCAAUGGCCCUUGGGCCACCUUGGGUGCUUCCCUAGAUGCUGGGGGUGGAGAGAGAGAGCAGGACCAGUCCUGUGAACCAGACUGACGUCCAUUAGCCAAGAAAACAUGGCUGGCCGCUAAGCAGAGUGGGGGCAGAGUGGUUGGGAAUAUGAGAGAUAUGGGAGUGGAAAACAAAAUCUCAGUGUGGAGUCUCAGCAGAUCUUGGGCAGAGAUGGGGGGAGGUGACCUGCUGACCCUCUGAAGGGCAGCACAGUUUGCUAAGAAAAGGGCCAGUCAUUUUUCCUUGACAAUGGCAAGAAUUUAGUGUGCCCCGGGAAGAGCACCAGGUACAGCCUAGGUAAAGGAGAGGGCACAGAGUGAUGUCCUACAGUCUCUCAACUUUUUCUCUCUUUUUUCUGCUUUUUCCCCUUUAUACAGGUCCAUAGUACUGAUAUUACUAGCGUGCUCACCUGGAAACACAAGCACACAGUCACACAGAAACACACACACACACACACACAUGCACAUGCACACACACACACACACACAAUCACACACUGUCUGCUUUUCCUGUGGUCACUGUGAUUUCUCAGAGCUCUGUGGACUAAGAGUCAACUGUCUGAUUCUCCUCAGAGAUCAGAGUAUAGGUUAUUCUUCUCCCGAAAACCUGCCUGACUUACUGAUGUUUUCAGAGACUGUUCCAGUCUUCCAGACUUUUUCUGAUGCCACUUUGACAGCCUGUAACAAACUGUGCCUGUUACCUACUUUCGACUCACACUUUGGUUGGAUCUUGUGGACGUGUAUAAGCCGGCAGUGAAUUCCCUGUUUAUAAACUGUAUCCAGAAUGGGUGCUCCUGAGGUGAUUUCUGCAUUCUCGCGGUCACCAGUGCAACAUUUGUGUCUCUGCAUUGUACUUUGGACAACGAUGGACCAUGUCAUUAGAGGAUCCCCCAAAGGUCAAGGGCUCCAUUUGCACCCUGCUGAGGAAGAAAACAAGACCAGUAAUGAAUUCUUCCAAGGUGAUCUGUUCAUCUUUAAUGCCUGCCAGCCCAUCAGUCGCUCAGGAUGAUGUGAGAUCUGGCCAACGUUCUUGUCAUCAUUUUGAUGGAAGACCUUUGCUGACUUGGGGAUGCCUCCACGGCUGGGAGCUGUGCUGACAUCAUCGGUAGAGCUGGACAGACCACUGUGAAGAUUGGCCAGGAUCCCUUCUUCAGAGUGAAGGAACUAUAUGACAUGAUGGGAGUAUCUGCCAUGGUCAAGUGCUCUGCAGUUUCCCGAGAAGAAGUGCAUGUUGGAUGACACUACCUCGGCUGAUCUGUUCCUAAUCAUGAAGCUCUCAGCCCUUGCCCUCAGGGGAGAGAGAAUAUUAUGAAAUUAGAAUGGAUGCACAUGGGAUCCUUUCCUCAACACUUCAAGACAGAGGUCCCGACAUUGACAGUGUGGCCAAGGGCAGUAUAGAUAUGGCCUAGAAGACUGGAGAGGUCAACCAAGUUCUAAGAGGGAUAGCAGAUGAGGCAAGCCUGUCGAGAAAAGGCACAACAUGCCCUUCUACCAGAGAACAGACGAUUUAAAAAGUACGUUGGCAGCACUUUUAUUCUAUAUGGGGCACUUGCCUAAGAUCCAGCAUCCAUGGUUCCUUCCUUCUCUCCCCUCCCUCCCUCCCUCCCCCCCUCCCUCCCUCCCUCCUCCUCCCUCCCUCCUCUCUUUGAGCUAGUAUGUGUCUAGCAAUACCAUAGGCCUGACUCCAGAUGUUCUUUCUUUCUUGCCGUGGUGGUUCCUGACCCCGGACGCCAGCCCUCAUUCCCAGUUCCGCAUCUGCCCUCAGUGGACUCAGUGAUGUAUGGGAUACAGUUCACCCAUGAGGAUUUGAUUGCAGUUCACACCAUCCAUCCUACUUCAGACCCAUUCAGGUAAUCCCUACCUUCCUAAUGUUCACAUCUGAGUCUCAAAUUCUGACUCAUUUCAUUUGAUGGUUUACCAUCUGAGAACACUCUAGACCCUCAUGAGAAGAGCUCAGACUGUGUUUGCAGCAGUUUGUAACCCCUGAAUGUUGUGCCUUGGCAAGCACUGAGUGCUACAGGCUAGAGUCUAAAGCUUUGCUUUUGAGGGUAGUACAUACAUAGAAGACACCACAAUUAAGUUCCCCUUAUUGCCCAGAAUUUUCUGGGUAAGCAAAGUAACCAAUCUUAGAACAUUCAACAACUUUAAAAUAGCUUUAGUUUAUCUUGGAAUUGCAUCACCGCCAUUAUCACCACCACUACCGCUGGUGCCACCAUCAUCACCAACACCAUGAUCACUACCACUCUUACAACCUCUGUUGCCACCAUUCCCACCAUACCAUCGCUACCACCACGAUCACCACCGCUACCCCCAACAUCAUCACAAUCAUCACAGCCAUCGCCACUACUAUCAUUACUAUCAUCACAACCAUCCCAUCAUCACUAACAUUGUCCCCAUCACUACAGCCAUCAUCAGUAUCAUCAUAACUAUCACCACCUACCACGAUGACCACCUCCAAUAACACCACUGUUACCACUAACACUACCAUCAAAACCAUCACUACUAUUACCACCAUCACCAUUACCAGCAACAAUAGCAUCACCACCACCACUACAACCAUCCUAACUAUCACUACUAUCAACAAUGCCAUCAACUCCAAUAACACCAUCACUACCAUUAUUAACACAACCACCACUACCACCAUGACUACCACUAUCAACAACAGUGCUUCGACAGUAUAACUAUCACGAUCAUCAUCACUACCAUAAUCACUACCACUACCUCCACCACCACCACCACCACCACCAUCACCACCAACAUAGCAACAAUGCUACACCAACACCACCAUCACCACCACUACCAUCAUGGCCACUGCCAAUGUCAGUGAGACUUCUCCCUCAUCUUGCCCUGAGAUGUAUCACCCAUGUUCUGUCAUCUUACUUAGCCUUGACUUUGACACAUAUUCAGAGAUACCACAUUGGCCAUGCGUGACCUGUUUGGGUGUGCACCACUCCAAGCAGACCCUGCCAUCCCUGGCUGAGGUGCUUGAACUUGAUGACCUCUGACCUCUGCUGCCCAGGACCGAACUUGGUGUAAAACUCGAGCAUGGAGAUUGCUGGGGAAAGGUAAAGAUCAAUGAAGGCAAAACACACAGUUGUAUGCCCAUCCUGAGUCCAGAGUAUGUGUCCGACUCAAGGUCCUGUAUCCCCCAAGCGCAGAUGGUCCCUGCCUGCUGCUGGGGCCUGCCUUCCUCCUCCAGCUCCACUCAUCCUUUGCCUGUCCCUUUUUAGAAGAUGUGUAACCCUAAUCCUUGAAAUUGCCUGGCAUGAAUUUUAUUCCCUGCUUAAAUAAAUCUCACUCCCCCACGAAGUUUGGACAGGAUGCAGGCAAUCAGACUAGGGCUUGGAACCGAAUGUUUUGCAAAAGACCUCUUUCAAAAUUUGAAACCCCGUGGUCACAGGCCAGAGCUGAGUCUGACUUGGGAGAAUGUAUGUUCUGUGACCCCCCUCCCAAAAGAAGAGAGGGAGUGAAGGCUAAAACAAGUCCUCCUGUCACUGAGCCCAUGGACGACUUGCAAGGCUGAAAACCCUGUGGUUUAGUUCUGUUUCUCUGAUGGAACUGGAGAGAGAUUGGUCCCCUCCCUAGCUCUUCUUUCAAGCUUUUGGCAAAAGCCUCAAUCCUCCCCUAGCCAGCAAGGGCCUAAAAAAAUCACAGAGAGUGCAUGGCAUGGAUUGGUGUAGAAUUCUGGCCCAGGCUAUAGGGGUGUAGGGGUAGGACCAGUGCGAACUGUGUCCCAAGGCCUCACUUUUCCAAAGGAGGGAAUGAUUAGGAGACCUGGUAUUUUCUUUCUUCGCCCAGGGAGGUACCCUUGUGUAUCCUUGGAGAAGUCCCAGAACUCAACUGUAAGAAACAAGUUGGUUUCUUUUCACUGUUGGUCAUGUGUAUCUCCUACUCCAUGCCAUGUGGGCAUGCUCUGCCUGGCAGACUGCUGGAAGCAGGCAGAAGCUCCCCCAGAUAGAGGGUGUGUUUUUCCAUCUCUUCAAAGUCUUCAUGGCCCACCUGUGUCUGCACCUCUAUAUCCAGAUGGAGUGAAACAUGCUGACCUCUUUGGCCCAGCUCUUUUGGCCUGCCUCUCAAGCUCCCAGGAGGACUCAGCAUUUUUCUUUGGCUUUUAUAAAGAGAGGCAUUGCUUCCCUUCUUCAGAGAAUUGAGCUGACCAUGUGAUUGCCUAGCCCUGCCUCAGUUUUCCCAUGUGUAAUAGGGACACCAUGGUAACAUGAGUUCUCCCUCACUGUUGUAGCUUUUGAGGGAGCUAAGGUUUGUUUCACCUGGCCUAGACUUAGGUGCAUACUUCCUUCUUCCCAUCCUCCGAGGUCCCCCUGCAUACUUGCUCUUAAUUUCAGAUGCAGUUGAUGAUAUUUUAUUUCCCCUUAAACUCACACGCUCUCCCACCAUCGUCUUUAGGACUGUGUAGAAGUUAUCCUUCCUGUUACCAGAGCCCGUUCUCAGCAUAGUUCCAGUAUCAUCAGUGGCCGGAGACUGUGGCUAGUUCUUCGGCCAGCUCUAGGGCUCCCUUCCAUCAGCUGUCCCUUCACCUCUGCUGCAUGGAGUAUUUUUGAGCUCCUGGCUUCAUUUAGUGAUGUGCCUAACUAUGAUGGUCUCUGAGCCUGAAACCACAGGUCAGAUCUCAGACAUCUUUAAAAAAAAAAAAAAAAAAAAAAAAAAAAAAAAAAAAGGAACGAUUUCAUAUCUGGGGUAUGUCUCCUUUCUAGACAUUUUUGUGUCUACUCAGAGCCUUGCUCUCUAGCUUCCAUCCUAUUUGUAUUGUAACAUGUUCUAUGAUUUGCUCAUUGGAAUAACAAAACUUAGGUAACUCCCAGUUUAGUGACCAUUCUGAAAGCCAUGCAGAGAAGCAUCUGGAAUAGUCCUUCCUGCCAGUACCCAACCCAAAUAGCAUUUUUCCAAAGACAUGGCCCACAUAGGUUACAGCCCAGCAGCAUGGUUCCCUUCUCUUUCUUUUGUGUAGAAUCAGAGCCAUCCCGUACCCUACUCUGGCUCUCUAAGCUCACCUCACCCCAAAGCUUGGUUAUUGGCACUCAUUAGCUCCAAUAUGCUUCAUUCUCUGACUGUGGGGGCAGAUUCAGUGGGUACCCAACUGUCAUUAACCUUGGUCCAUUUUUCCCUAGCAAUGAGAGCCAUGGAGCUCAACUCUUGGGCCAAGAAUGAUGUGGCCAGAACUAUCGUACUCCCAGGAUCCAAGCAAGCUGCUGGGCCCUAAAUUCUCAAAUAAUAAGAGCCUGUGAAAAGCACCCAUGGUGGUCACCAAGUGGAUGGGACAGUGACCACAUAGGAAGCAGUGGACUCUGCAGACAUAAGUCACGGUCCCCCGAAAGAGAACCUUUAGAGGCUUGGUUGCCUGAUCCAGCUUCCUGUGAGGACAAAUGCCAAAGGAGCAGUGCCAAUCUUGCUGGGUAAGCUCUACUUUUUCUGGUUACUCUCAAUGCUGUGUGUCAGGGACAAGACCAGAUUUUAUAUGGUGGCUGCUUGGAUUGUAAGCACUGAAAGAUGAGCUUUCCAAGUGAGCUGGAAUGCCUGUACAGACUGUGGGGAGGCCAGGUACACUGGCUCCUCUUGAAGAGUAGCAUUAGCUACUUCUGGCAGUGGCUUCUCUGAGUGGAAGGCAAGAAUGGCCAGACAAGGCCCCCAUUUCCACAUCUCUGGUCAUCACAGAUGACUUGAUACCAGGAUCCUUUCUAGCAGCUCAAUCUGGGGCUUGGAUAACCUCUGUUCCCCCCCACCUGUAAUAUUUUUUAAAAUGAUGCAAACAAGACAGAUGUCAUGGUGUGCACUUGGGACCCCAGCUCUAGAGAGGUUGAGGCUGGAGCAUUGCAAGUUUCCAGCCAGCCUGGCCUUUAGACAGUUGCAUUUUAUAAACUAUAGACUGCCAAGGGGAAACAAAAAAACAGGGUCCAUGUGUGGCUCUCCUCUAGAAGAUACUAAGCUAAGAAAUCACAUUUAUCAUGUGAUAUUUUUUAAAAAAAAAAUUUCUCAUUUCGUAGAAGUUCCUGUUCUUUGGAAAAACAUGGAAAAUAUGGGGAGGUGACAAAAUUUUCAUAGCCAUGCCACUCAAAGAUAACCACUGCCAACUUUGGCUAAUAGUGUUUGGUUUUUGGUUUAUUCCUAUAGUGUGUGUGUGUGUGUGUGUGUGUGUGUGUGUGUGUGUGUGUGUGUGUAUUUAAUUGAGCUCAUCAUUGCUAUUUUUUCUCAUCUGCUUAUGUAUCCUAAACACUGCCCCAUGCCAUUCAGUAAUUUCCCAUCUUUGGUUUUUUUAAUGGUCAUGUAGGGGUCUAGCCAGUGACUAUAAUUGACAUAAUUGGUCUGUGUGUGUCCAUCUGCAGACAGAUGCAAAGCUGGGUGGUGGAUGUUAGGAGGCUUCUCUAUGUGCUAUCCCUUCACAGUUCUGACCAGUAUCUUGCCGUUCUUUGUAUAAGCGAGUGGCUCUGUCAGGAGGAGUGAGCACAUGGCCAAAUUACCCUCUGCAAACUUUUUGCCCAUUAUGUUUUCAAAAUUAGUUUGAGAAAGUGCCUGCUGCUCUGGGAAUUAUCAGAGUUUUUAACCUUUGCUGAUUUGUCAAAACAUGACAUUUCACCAUUUCCAUCCCCACAGCUUUUAUCACAGUGGCACAGAACACCUUUCCGCCCUCUUUGUGGGGUAUUUGUAUCUAAAUUGCCAGCUCAGGCUCCUUGCGCUUUUCAUUAUUCCUUUAGUUUUUGUGUUUUUUUGUCAAACUCAUGCAUACACAUCAUUUUAAGAGCCAGAUCCUUCUACAAGGUUGUCAAAGAAGCAUCAGCCCUCCCACCCUCCCGGCUCCACCCGAAUAUUAUGCGUUACCUGUAACUGCUUUAACUGAUUCUCUUGACAUUUACAUCCAUAACGCUAAGUAACAUUCUUGUUUUUCUGCUUCUUGAUUUUCUUUCUUUGUGUGUGUGAUUUUUUUUAAGCUUAGGCAUCAUUCUGAUUGUUCUAUUGUUGAAGACAAGCAUUUAGCUCUCUUUUACAUAUGCCCUUGUCUUCACCCCGCACACACACACCCCUGUACUGUCCUCCCAAUAGAUUAUUUUGAAAUGUUGGUUUGAUCAAUACACAAGAGUUCACACCCCUCUAAGAGUGUGAAUAUGUCCACAAAGAUGAACAAUGUCCUGAGUAUUCAUCUCCUCCCUUUUUCUGGAGAGGGGGAGAGAGAGAGCGCUUUUCCCAUUGUUGUUCAGUUUUGUCUUGGUUUAAGUGUGGCUCUGGAUAAUACAUACAAACAGGGGUUGUUUAAGACACAUGCAUAACAUGGUGAAAUUUCAUUUUGGAGUCAGCUUUUCUUUCUUCUUGUGGGCUAACUUUAGACUGCCACCAUCUUCAUUUUCCCGUCUUCUCCUCCUGGGGAUAGGUUCCUUUGUUUUUUUUUUUUUUCCUCCCUAGAUGGGUCCUUGGCUUUUAUAGAUAUCAUGCUAUCUGUUUUGGGAGGUUAAUCUUCUGUUUUGCUAGAGUUUCAAGAGAAAAGAUUCAUGGGAAGUAAACUUCUGAAGACCUUUCACAUUUGAAUAGGAAAAUGUCUACCUUGACAUUGGUAACUCAGCAGCUGGGUAUAAAAUUCUAAGUUACAGACUUUCCCCCUCAGGUUUUCAAAGAUACAUAGACUUAGAAAUGGGAAAACAAUGUCAAAGAAAACAGUUUAGAAACUCUGAGGAUAAGAGAGAGAGAGAGAGAGAGAGAGAGAGAGAGAGAGAGCGAGAGAGAGAGACCCAACCAAAAGUAUCACAGAUACAAAAGCCUUGUCUUCUAGCCUAUUUUGAGGAGCCUUAAGCACUUGUCAUUCUUCAAUCUUGCAGGAAUUUGUGGGAUUUUUGUGUUUUCUCUCAUUGUUUGAGAAUUUCAUUGCUUCUGUGUUGAUUUGGAUCUAUGCUUACCCAUUUUCACUCUUUUGAUCCAAAAACUCUUUUGAAUUUAUAAACCAAUUUCUCUCUCUUUUUUCCCCCUCCCCUGAGUACCUCAUUUAUGUAUUGGACCUCUCUGGCUGAUUCUAUAAUAUUGCUAAGUCUCCCCCCCCCACAUUUGCCUUCUUAAUUUUCUGUCAUAUGCUGCCUCUCAUCCGCACCACCACCCCCCGCCGCCGCCGUCGCCUUUUCUCUCAUUUUCCAUUUAAUUUUGUUAAUGGAGCCUUUUAUUCAAAAUUGUGGGACUGGAGAGAUAGAUCAUCAGUUAAGAGCUUGAACUUCUCUUACAGAGGACCAGGGUUUAGUUCCCAGCACCCAUGCUAGGCAGCUUACAACCAUGUCUACCUCCAGCUUCAGGGAAUCUGAUACCCUUUUCUGGCCUUGGUUACACCUGCACAUGGGAGCACACACACACACACACACACACACACACACACACACACACACACACACACACACACACCUCCCUCCCCUUCCCCACAUAGAUAUUAAAAUAAGUAUUAAGAUAAAAAUUGUUAGGUUAUUGAGAAAUAUAUCAUUCAUUUUUCUCUUAUAGUUUCUUCAUUUGUAUUUUAUUUUUGGAUAGAAAGGUAUUUUCCAAAUAAAGCUCAUACAAAUAGUCAAUCCAGUUUUUUUUUCCUAGAAUUUCUGUAGCUUCAUGUUUUAUAUUUUAAUAUUUAACCCAUUAAAUCAUGAUGAAAAAUAUACAAUUUCUACAUUUGCUGCUUUGCAUAUCAUUUUUAAACACGUGCGUGGGUGUUUUGGCUGCAUGUGUCUGUGCACUAUGUGUGUGCAGUGCUAUGGUAACCAGAGAGGGGAUUGGUUUGCCUGGAACGAGAGAAAGCUAGACGUGGUUGUAAACCGCCAUGUGGUAACCAAACCUGGAUCUUCUGGCUCUUAACCACUGAGCCAUGUCUCUAACCCCCCAUAUGUACCUCUACAGUUUUGAUUCUUGUGUUGACUUUCCCUACUUCUCUUGGCCUAUUAAAAUUUUAGGUCAGCUGGACUUGAUUUUUAUGUAUUAAUGUUACAUUGAAUCAUUGUUCACUGGCAAUAAUCUUUCUUCAUUUUCUCUUUUAAUAUUUUUUUCCUGUUAGUCUCAUUUGUUUAUUCUUUCAGGUGGAUUUUAGUGAUUCUUUGAAGUUUAAAACACAGUAGAUUUUCUGUGGAAUUUUAUAAAGUUGUCUGUUAAAGCUGAACAUUGUGGUGCAUGCCUGUAAUCUCAGUACUUAGGAGACUGAGCCAAAUGGAUCAUGAACUCAGGGCCAGACUGGUUACAGAGGGAAACCCUAUCUCAAACAAAACAAAAUGAACAAACAACAACAAAGCAGUAAAGAAAACUCUGCAUGCUAUUUUGCAGUUUUUAGUUUAUAUAUGAAUUACUUGUCAAAUUUGGCAUAUUCACAAUUUGUCAGCAAGAUUAUUUCAGAGAAUUAAGUGUUGCCUCUGUUGUGAGCCUGGCCCCUUUCCUUUGUAUUUUUGAAUUCCUUGUCAGUGGUAUGUUGGGACUUCUAUGUAUUUCUAGUUUCUACCUGUCUCAUUGAGUUAUUUUGUUCUACGAGCUUUUCAUUGAGCAAUUUUAAAUCUCCAAGUAGAGCUGCUCGUUUCUCAUAUGCUUUAUAGUUUAUCUCUUCCAUGUUGUCCUGUUGAUGACUUUUUCUUAUCUUAUUGCAUUGUCUAUAAAUUCUAAGACAAAUUGUUAGUAACAGAAAUCUGCCUUCUGUUUCAUUGUUGGGUACAGUUACAAAGUAUUUUUCAGUCUAGACUUUUCUUUCUUUCUUUUUUUCUCAUGCAGUAUUCCAAGUUCAUAUAUGGUUCAGAAAUGGAUUUAGAAUUUUAUGAAAUGCUUUUUUUAAUGUCUGAGAGAUAUUUGUGUUGUUUCUCUCUGUCAGUACAAUGAAUUAUAAUAAUGUUUCCUAACUUUUAAGUGUA